GGCUAGAUAGCUCAGUUGGUAGAGCACCUGACCGGAGUUUCAGGAGGCCCGGGUUCGAAUCCCGGUCUGGUCC